rnacentral:lncRNA from 1 species
UCGAAAACUGUGAGUAAAUUUAUUAUCGUCUUAAUUAUCUAGAGUAGUUUUAUACAAUUGUGUGAUUUUAUGAAAAAUGGGUUUAAAUGGUAAAUUGCUAUGUUUUAAGAGAAAUUGUGAUUUUACAAAAUGAUUUUAUAAAUUUUUUGAAAAAUUGAAUACUGGUUUUGAAAAUAGAGUAAUUGGAGACUGCCUGCUUGUGUUGUAAAUUUAUGGUUUUAAAUUGAAUGGCUUAUGACAAUAAAUGAGCAAGAAUGGCUAAACUGAUUUUGGUGUUAGAAUUAUUUGUACUAUGUAUUUAGCCUUGAGAGGCUCAGUUGCGAUAAAUUACCAUGUCAUGCAGAAAAAGAUUUUAUAAAUCAGAUGGUAGAUAAAAGAUUAGCUACUGCAGUGGUGGGGGGUUUCGUGGGCCAGCCUAUUAGAGGGGCACGGUAAACUCUUUUAUAUUCUCACCUCGAUCGUAGAGGCGCGUAGGGUAUCUCCUGAGGUGGGCUUUUUGAGUGCACUUCACGUGGACCACCGCGUGAGAGUGAGACUCAGCCAACGCCAAGGAACGACUAUGUUUCAAAAUAAAAAUAUGAUUUAUGCGAAAUAUGAAUUUUUAAUAACCUUGGCGGACUCAGUUGGAUACCCCUAGUCCAGGUGUCAUCGAGUACAGGAUUUGGCAUGAGCCAAGUUUUGAGUAAUUCAUGAGCCAUAUUGAUUAUUUGGUUGAAAUGAAUAUUCGUGAUGUGAAAAAUUUGCUGAAGUUAAUUAUUUUUUAAUUGUUUCCAUUUACUCGUCUUUAGAUAGUUUAGAUGGUGUCUGUUUACUCACUGGGAUUUUAUAAUCUCACCACCCUCAAUUCCUCACAUUUCAGGUUCAGGAUAGCCGGUAGAUAGCCGAUUGCAUCAAAGACUUCAGUUAGCCUUGCAUUGCCAAAAUUAUAGGUUCACAGACUCGCAUCUUAUUGGUUAGUUGGGGGCCCACAUGUCAUUGUAAAAGUAAUUUUAUACUUUAGUUAUCUGAUUUAAAAUAUGUAUGAACAUAUUAAGCUUUUACACCAUAUUUUUGGCGAGUUUCGGUAUUAUCGAAGAAAAAUGACGAAAAUGCCCCUAUGAGCCAAAAAAUAAUAUUUUAUUAUUUUGAUUUGGAAACGACUUAUGAUUUCUUGAAAUG